rnacentral:rRNA from 1 species
GAUGAACGCUGGCGGCGUGCCUAAUACAUGCAAGUCGAGCGAACGGGCGAGAAGCUUGCUUCUCUGAUGUUAGCGGCGGACGGGUGAGUAACACGUGGAUAACCUACCUAUAAGACUGGGAUAACUUCGGGAAACCGGAGCUAAUACCGGAUAAUAUUUUGAACCGCAUGGUUCAAAAGUGAAAGACGGUCUUGCUGUCACUUAUAGAUGGAUCCGCGCUGCAUUAGCUAGUUGGUAAGGUAACGGCUUACCAAGGCAACGAUGCAUAGCCGACCGGAGAGGGUGAUCGGCCACACUGGAACUGAGACACGGUCCAGACUCCUACGGGAGGCAGCAGUAGGGAAUCUUCCGCAAUGGGCGAAAGCCUGACGGAGCAACGCCGCGUGAGUGAUGAAGGUCUUCGGAUCGUAAAACUCUGUUAUUAGGGAAGAACAUAUGUGUAAGUAACUGUGCACAUCUUGACGGUACCUAAUCAGAAAGCCACGGCUAACUACGUG